AACGAACGCUGGCGGCAUGCCUAACACAUGCAAGUCGAACGAUCCCUUCGGGGAUAGUGGCGCACGGGUGCGUAACGCGUGGGAACCUGCCCUUAGGUUCGGAAUAACUCAGAGAAAUUUGCGCUAAUACCGGAUAAUGUCUUCGGACCAAAGAUUUAUCGCCUUUGGAUGGACCCGCGUUGGAUUAGCUAGUUGGUGGGGUAAAGGCCUACCAAGGCGACGAUCCAUAGCUGGUCUGAGAGGAUGAUCAGCCACACUGGGACUGAGACACGGCCCAGACUCCUACGGGAGGCAGCAGUGGGGAAUAUUGGACAAUGGGCGAAAGCCUGAUCCAGCAAUGCCGCGUGAGUGAUGAAGGCCUUAGGGUUGUAAAGCUCUUUUACCCGGGAUGAUAAUGACAGUACCGGGAGAAUAAGCCCCGGCUAACUCCGUG
rnacentral:rRNA from 1 species